GUGGGUAUAGCUCAGUGGUAGAGCACAUGCUUAGCAGGCAUGAGGUCCUGGGUUCAAUCUCCAGCACUUCCA
rnacentral:tRNA from 1 species